GGCUGCCUGGGGAGGGGACAGAACUGGAUUACAGGCACCUGAGGAUCUGGGCAGCAGAAGGGAGAGCUCAGGGUGGAGAAGGAGAGAGGUCACCUGCACCAGGGCUCCCAAAUGCCCCCUGCUUGCUGGCCAUCCCAGAGGAGCUUCAAACAGCCAUCCCACAGGGCCACUGAACAGCUUUGGACCCUUCCUUGGAGUGGGAGCUUUCCAGAAGCCAAGGAACCCUGGACUUGAGACCUUUCAGGAGGGAUGGGUGCAUGCCUACACCUUAGCCCCACUUCCUGGACUGGCAUUGGUGCUGCCCAGCAUACUUUCUGCUGGGCUCCUGGGCAUCAGGGCCUGCCAGGGUCUGUAGGAAAGAGGCAGGAGGUCAGCAGUCUCAGGUCUCUGCUGGGAAUACACCCUCCCCAAGCAGUCCAGUGUCCAGAUGGGACCACAGGCCCAGCAGCCAGGGGACUGAGCCCCACCACCCACUCUACAGGUGCAGCCUGCCUUCAUGCCCAGGCCCAGCAGCACUCACAGUGUGCCCAGGCCCUGGAGACCAGUGGAUCAUGAAGAGAGCAGAGGGUCUGCCUCUGACACCGACCCCCAAGGCUGUGAGCCCUCCUCCAGUGGGUGAGACUGGGCUCCAAAGAGGAGAGGGUGCUCUGGGCAGUACUAAGGGGGCUAGAGUACUGCCUCUCCCAAGGCCAGGGGCCUGGUGUGCUGGCUACCUUCUAUGGUUCACAGGUCUUUAGCUGGGGCAGGGCAUGAUGGGGAGGGGCAGGAAACAAGCCAGUGUAGGAUUCAGACAGCAAGAGCCAACUGGGUGCUGCCCCAGUGCCAUCCACUCUCCCUUGCCCUGAAUCAGUGCCCUGGCUCCUGGCACCCCAAGCUGCACCCACACCACUGCACCCAGGGGCUCACCCAUCCACCACUCCUCCUCAGUCAGGCUGCCAGGGUCCUGUGCACAAACUCUCCCAGGCAGUCCACCAAGGCAUGCACCAUGGUGGGCUGGGACUGACACACAUAGUCCAUGUCCAGUCCUGUAGCCACUGCAUACAGGGAUACCACCUUGCCCACGUGAUGCCUGCAGAGAGAGUUGCUGGUCAGGCACUGGAAGUGGGAGAUGCCCAGGUGGUGCCCAGGAUCCAGGUACCUCCUACAGGCCCUCUCCCCAGUGACUUUCGGCCAGCUGAUGGCCUGGAGGAACCCUGCCACAUCUCCCAUGGGUAAGUCCCACCCACCCGAGGGCAGACAAGUUGCCCAGCCCAAGGACAAAGGAGGUCCCAGGGAGGCACCUCAACACAGGGCCCAGCAGACCUGGGGCUGCAUGAAUGGACAGCAAGGGUUCCCUGGGCACACCUGUCCCUCUACCCCGUCAUCCAUUCAUGAAGAAGCCAAGGCCCACAGAAAGAACCUUUCCCAGACAACUGACUGACUGAGUGGCAGAACAGAGCUGGUGCCACUUCGGGGGAGACAGACCAUGGCCCCAGACAAGUGCUCCUGAGCCCCAGGCCAGCCGUACUCCUGAGCACACCAAGUCAGUUCACAAAUCAAAGAGCCCUCUUGAGACUCACACACAGGCUGGGACAGGGGCCAGCCAGAAGAGCUAUCCAAUAGCCAUCAGGCCCUGGGCUCCACCCCAGCACUGAGAGAAACACAUGAACGGUGGACACCUCAGAACAGCCAGUGGAAGGAGCCAGAUGCACAGCACAUGCACUGAGAAAGACCACAUGUGCAGCAUCCAGAACAGUGCCUGCAGCCAGAGUAGGUCAGUGGCUUGGCAGGGUGGACCAAACAGGGUCACCACGCCAGUGUACCAAAUACCAUCAAACUGCCACUUCAGAGGAACCUCUUGGCCAGGAUGAAGAAGGCCGCUGCCCAUUUUCAGGUCUCUUGGGCCUCUGUCUAGAGCUGCCAGGUUCAACUCCUUUCACUCGAACUCAAACAGACCCCUGCACAGAGAGUGUGGCAUCAUCUGCCUCAGGCCUGACACCAACAAGGUGGCCUUCAUCAGUGACCAGAACACAGUCACUCAGACUACCAGGUCAUGGCACAUGCCUGCAAUUUCCAGGACUCGGGAGGCUAAGGCAGAAGGAUCCAAAGUUCAAGGCCAGCCUCAGCAACUUAGUGAGGCCCUAAGCCCUGGUGGUCAGUACUGAAAAAGAAAUUACUCUCCAAAAGCUUGCAUGACCUUGACCUUGCCCACUUGUCCAAAAACUGCUCCCUUCCUGGAUGUUCAGGAUGCACCCAGUCUAGAGUGGAGCUGUUCAGGCCCUGGUGGGCAUGGCAGUGUGUAGAAGUCAGUGGGUAUGUCCACCCCACAGUGCUCCAGUGUGGGCUCCAAUGGGGGGUAGGAGGGCUGGGUCCAGGGCACCUCUGCAGAGGCCAACCCCCCAGAAUACCCAUCCUGUACUGUAACACACUCGAAACCAAGAAGGCUGUGUGCAGGUGAGAAGGACCUUGUGCUGAAAGUCUCAGAGUCCAGCCUCCUUUGGUGGGAGGAUGACUCAGAGGCCAGCCUCCUGUGCAGAGGAAGCUUCUCUCUGGAGCCAGAAUGGGAGGCUACAGCUGAGCUCCACCCCUUUAAGGUGUUGUGGAGGUGGAGGAGGGUGAGGUGAAUGGGCAGGAACUGGGCAUCGUGUCCCAAUCCAUCGCCAGGAUCUCCUUCACCAAGGAGCCCCAUGUGGAGCAGGGGGAGGAGGCAGUGCACCAGAAUGGGGACCUGGGGUGUAGUCUAAGAAGCCAGCACCCAGACCUGUGUCCUGUGCUGCCGCAUCUAUUUUCUACCUCGGCACUCUGCUGACCAGACUGACCACAGGUGGGAAGCAGGCCUGGGUCUUCCCCUUGAAUCACUGAGGAAACAUAUCAUGCUGGGGUCGGGGUUCAGAAUGUGGGGGUGAAGGACUGGUGCUUGGUGAGCAGCUGUCUGCCUUUCCAGGUACUGCUGGGCAGAAGGCCGUGACCCUGCCUUGACCACAUGUUUGGAAUUUUUUUUGGGGGGGUACCAGGGACUGAUCACAGGGACACUUGACCAGUGAGCCACGUCCCCAGUCCUAGUUUGUGUUUUAUUUAGAGGAGGCUCUCACUGAGUUGCUUAGCACCUCAAUUUUGCUGAGGCUGGCUUUGAGCUCAUGAUCCUCCUACCUCAGCCUCCCAAGUCGCUGGGAUUACAGCCAUGCUCCACUGUGCCUGGCCUGGAAUUUCUUUAUAGUGAAGGUGCUGUGGGUGCAUGACCUUGCUGAGCAUGAGCUCUACUUCAUCCUGAAAUCUCCAGCCUGGUCACGGUGUCCCUAUGCUGUCCUGUUCUAUGCCUUGACCUUUGGUGGGAGUCACAGGCUUGGUGGGUGCCACCAUCCCACCACAUUCCUGCAGCUCAGGUUGGUUCAGCAUCAGGGUCGUAUGUGUUGACAAUGUGUCUGUUGCUCCUGCUGAAUGUUCCUUUGGUGAGUCUCACACAGACUCACACUCCUCUUCUUGUGGAGGAAAAGUUUGUGUUCCCUCAACCCCAGGCCUGAGUGCACCUGCUUUCCUGGGCUGCCUCUGCUGCAGCCACAGGUGGCUCCUUUCUCACACACCUUCUUGGUGUUCAAAAGGGCCCUUUCAUCUGCCUUGCUAUGUGCUUUUCCUACAUCCAGUCCCACUCUCUGCCAGUUACCUAAGCCCAUUUCCAUACCUCAGAAAUGAGAUGCCUGCCAUCUCAGUGCGAGAGCCGCUUCUCCAGGCUGUUUUGGUCCUUUUGCCUUGCUCUCUGGAAAACUUCCUCAUCACCAUCUCCACACUGUGGUGGAAUUCUGAGCUGUGCUGGAGGGCUUGUUUCCAUGGAUGGUCUCCCUCUCCCUCUCCUACUUGCCCUUUUAAACAUGCUGCUCUGGUUUCAUCCAUAGGUACAGCAGCUUCUCCUGCAUCUCUGAGAGCAUUUGUUUUCAUUUUUGUUUUUGAGAUGGGGUCUCACCUUGCUGCCCCAGCUGAUCCUGAACUCUUGCUGGGGGCUUUCCUCCUGCCCUUCCUGCUGAAUACUUGGAGCUGCAGGUGCUGCCUGCACA